GAUGAACGCUGGGCUGUGUACCUAAUACAUGCAUGUCGAGCGAAGCACUUUUGUGCUUAGCGGCGAAUGGGUGAGUAACACGUACUUAACCUACCCUCAAGAUUGGGACAACACUUGGAAACGAGUGCUAAUACCAAAUACGUAUUUUUAUCGCAUGAUAGAUAUAUAAAAGGAGCUUCGGCUUCACUAGAGGAUGGGAGUGCGCUACAUUAGUUAGUUGGUAGGGUAAUGGCCUACCAAGACUAUGAUGUAUAGCGGGGCCGAGAGGCUGAUCCGCCACACUGGGACUGAGAUACGGCCCAGACUCCUACGGGAGGCAGCAGUAGGGAAUUUUCCACAAUGAACGAAAGUUUGAUGGAGCGACACAGCGUGCAGGAUGAAGGUCUUCGGAUUGUAAACUGCUGUUAUAAGAGAAGAAAAACCCUGGUAGGUAAUGACCAGGACUUGACGGUACCUUAUCAGAAAGCGACGGCUAACUAUGUGCCAGCAGCCGCGGUAAUACAUAGGUCGCAAGCGUUAUCCGGAAUUAUUGGGCGUAAAGAGUUCGUAGGUGGUUUUGUAAGUCUGAAGUUAAAUACCGGGGCUCAACCCCGGCCCGCUUUGGAUACUGCAAAACUAGAGUAAUAGAGAGGUUAGUGGAACUCCAAGUGAAGCGGUGGAAUGCGUAGAUAUUUGGAAGAACACCAAUGGCGACGGCAACUAACUGGAUAUUAACUGACACUGAGGAACGAAAGCGUGGGUAGCAAACAGG
rnacentral:rRNA from 1 species